CUGGCAUAGGUGCCUAUGUGGCUAAUGG
rnacentral:piRNA from 1 species